GGAGGGGUGGCCGAGCGGUUUAAGGCGCACGCCUGGAAAGCGUGUUGGGGUUAAUGCCUCUCAAGGGUUCGAAUCCCUUCCUCUCCGCCA
rnacentral:tRNA from 1 species